AUUGAAUGCUCUCAAAGCUGAACUUUUUGCCUGUUUAAAGUGACACAGCUGUAUAGUUGAUCCCUCCUUGAAGGACUUUUUUUUUUUUUUUUUAAGUACACCCUGUUGAAUUUGAUGACUUCUUAAUCUUAACUGUUAGCUGGAGUCUUCACAACUUAAUUAUCCAGAUAUAACAGAAACUGAGAUGUUAAUAAUAAACUCAGAAAUCUGCUGCUUAACCAGCUGUCUUGUUAAUUAUGGUAACAACAGACUGGCAAUUGCUUUGAUUAAAACACCCUGGGCUUGGUUUGCCUUUUCAAGCCCCUAUCACUGUCCAUAGAGAUUCAGUUCUGCUGUGCUCUCUCCCCUUCCAAGCAUGCAGAGGAGCACACCAGGGCCUCUGGAGAGGCUGCUGUGUAGCCCAGGACAAGGAUUCUGCCUCAGAACAUCCCUGUGUACUUUAAUCCUCAAGCUCCUGUGUAACUGCUGAGAUUGUGCUGGAGGAGAGCAAGACGCACCUUCAGCGUGCUCGGAAACGUCUCGUUGGAAGGAUGAAGCUCUGGGCAAUUUGUGGCUUUUUGUUUCUCUGUCUUUUGUGCCUCAAUGUCUUUUCUGCAGAAGGUCAGAGGAUGAGAAGACGCUGCUGUUCAAAAGCAUCCAAAGUCAACAAAAAUCAACAUAAAGGUAAAAAGGUUUACAGUUUCAUUAUAUAAAUUAGGUAAUCAUAAGAGAGAAAUCACAGCACUCUGUUUUUUUCCAUCUGCAAACUUCACAUAAUUUUCCAUACAGGUAAAUAUUAGCUUCAUUGGAUCACUGAGAACUUGUUCUCUUUUUUUUAGGAAACUUACUGAGUGUUUGGAUUGGGAAGAAAUAAGAUUAGAAAAUAUUAGAACCCAUUUAAUGCCCAUAGU
rnacentral:lncRNA from 1 species